rnacentral:rRNA from 1 species
UUCCAGACUCCUACGGGAGGCAGCAGUGAGGAAUAUUGGUCAAUGGUCGGGAGACUGAACCAGCCAAGCCGCGUGAGGGAGGAAGGUACAGAGUAUCGUAAACCUCUUUUGUCAGGGAGCAACGCCGGCUACGUGUAGCCGGACUGAGAGUACCUGAAGAAAAAGCAUCGGCUAACUCCGUGCCAGCAGCCGCGGUAAUACGGAGGAUGCGAGCGUUAUCCGGAUUUAUUGGGUUUAAAGGGUGCGUAGGCGGACGCUUAAGUCAGCGGUAAAAUUGCGGGGCUCAACCUCGUCGAGCCGUUGAAACUGGGUGCCUUGAGUGGGCGAGAAGUACGCGGAAUGCGUGGUGUAGCGGUGAAAUGCAUAGAUAUCACGCAGAACUCCGAUUGCGAAGGCAGCAUACCGGCGCCCAACUGACGCUGAAGCACGAAAGCGUGGGUAUCGAACAGGAUUAGAUACCCCCGUAAUG